CCUACGGGAGGCAGCAGUGGGGAAUAUUGCACAAUGGGGGAAACCCUGAUGCAGCGACGCCGCGUGAGUGAAGAAGUAUUUCGGUAUGUAAAGCUCUAUCAGCAGGGAAGAAAAUGACGGUACCUGAUUAAGAAGCCCCGGCUAACUACGUGCCAGCAGCCGCGGUAAUACGUAGGGGGCAAGCGUUAGCCGGAUUUACUGGGUGGCAAGGGAGCGUAGACGGCAGCACAAGUCUGGAGUGAAAUGCCGGGGCUUAACCCCGGAACUGCUUUGGAAACCGUGCAGCUAGAGUGCAGGAGAGGUCAGUGGCAUUCCUAUUGUAGCGGUGAAAUGCGUAGCUAUUAGGAGGAACACCAGUGGCGAAGGCGGCUUACUGGACUGUACCUGACGUUGAGGCUC
rnacentral:rRNA from 1 species